UACGAAGGACCCGAGCGUUAUCCGGAUUUAUUGGGUUUAAAGGGUGCGUAGGCGGACUAGUAAGUCAGUGGUGAAAGCCUGCUGCUUAACAACAGAACUGCCAUCGAUACUGCUAAUCUUGAGUACAUAUGAUGUGGGCGGAAUGUGCCAUGUAGCGGUGAAAUGCUUAGAUAUGGCACAGAACACCGAUUGCGAAGGCAGCUCACAAAACUGUUACUGACGCUGAGGCACGAAAGCGUGGGGAUCAAACAGG
rnacentral:rRNA from 1 species